AACAGUUAGUGUUCCAAUUACGGUAAGGGAAGGGGUUUGCUAGGGUUAUGAAUAAUGUGAGGAUAGGCUUGCUGUUACACAUAAGUUUAGGAUUAGGCUCAUGGUUAUGAUUAGGGCUCAGGUCAGGAUUAUGUCUAACAUUAAUGUCAGGGUUAGAUUUGGAGCUCAUGUUGGAGUAAUAAUUAUGAUUAGGGUAGGUGUACUAGAUAGUUUUAUGUCAACUGGACACAAGCUAGAGUCAUCAGGAGGAGGUAGCUUCAAUUGAGAAAAUGACUCCAUAUUACUGGACUAUAGGCAAGCCUGUAGGACUAGUAAUCCUUGGGGCAGGGACCAGCCCAUUGUUGAGUGGUGCCACCCCUGGGGAGGUGGUUCUGGGUUCUAUAAGAAAACAAGCUGAGCAAGCCAGUAAGCAGCACCCCUCCAUGGCCUCUGCCUCCUGCCUCCAGGAUCCUGCCCUGCUUGAGCUCCUGUCCUCACUGUUUUUAAUGAUGAACUGUUACAUGGAACUGGACUGUUCAUGGGUGAACCUGUCCCAGUGGACCAAGCCAUCCAGAGUCUGCCUACAUCUCGGUGCCAGUCCCGCCUCCACCCACUGGAAGAGGAGAGCUAUCAGAGUAUUGGACCUGCUUGCACCCACCAGGACAUGGAGAGACCCCACCAGCACCAACUGGAAGAAGGGAUGGGAAGACGACAAUAUAAGAACACAUUCAACAACAGAAAGACUAAUAUGAUGCCACCAGAGUCCAGAGACUCAACACCAACAAGACCUGAGCAUCCCAACACAGAUGAAGCAGAAGAGAAUUACCUUAAAAACAACUUUAUGGAGAUGAUAGAGAUCCUUAAAGAGUAAAUGAGAAAAUCCCUUGAAGAAAUGGAAGAAAAAACAAAAACAUUCAAGAAACUGAGGAAAAGACAACCCCCCCAAAUGCAAGAAAUAAACAAAUCUCUUAAAGAAAACAAGGAGAACCAAGAAAAAACAACCAAACAAGUGAAGGAAAUAAUUCAAACAGUUCAAGGCUUAGAAGCUUGAAUAGAGACAAUUAAAAAAAGAAACAAACCACAGAUUGAGGGUAUGCUGGAAAUAGAAAAGCUGGGUAAACGAUCAGGAACUGCAGAUGCAAGCAUAGCCAACAGAAUACAAGAUAUAGAAGAGAGAAUCUCAGGCAUUGAAGAUACACUAAGAAAAAUAGAUUCAUACACCAAAGAAAAUCUUAAGUGUUACAAUGUUCCUGCCCAGUUCUGCAGCUGCCUCAGAGCCCCCAAAUAACACACGAGACACUAUAUUAAUUAUAAUGCUGUUGGCCAGAAGCAUAGAAAAAAAUAGAAGCAAUAGAAGUCUAGGGCUUCUCAGUGGCUUUGUUGGAGGAGAUGUGUCACUAGGUAGUGGGCUUUGAGGUCUCAGAAACUCAGCCACUGUGUCAUUGUCAUCUCCUGCUGCCUGUGGAUACAGAUUUAGGACUCUCACCUCCUUCUCCAGCACCAUAUCUGCCUGAGUGCCACCAUGCUUCCCAUCAUGACAGCAAUGGACUGAACCCAUGAAACUGCAAGCCAGUCCCAAUUUAAUGUUUUCCUUCAUAAAAGUGGUCAGGGUGUCUAUUCGCAGCAAUAGAAUCCCCAAUUAAGACAAUUACUAAUGGUAACACUAAUGCUAGUCUUAACCCUAACACCAAACCUAACCCUAAUUGUAAACUUAACACUAGCUCCAAUCCUCACCAUAAUAUUAGGUUGUAACCCUAAGUAUAAUGCCUAUCUGUAAUACUUGCUUAAUCUGUAACCCUAAAGCUAAUAUGAAGAGUACUGCAGUAACCUGACCCUAACCCUAAUCUCAACCCUAACCCAAG
ensembl:lncRNA